rnacentral:tRNA from 1 species
GUAAACAUAGUUUAAGUAAAACACUAGAUUGUGAUUCUAGCGAUAGAAGAUAAAACCUUCUUGUUCACC